rnacentral:rRNA from 1 species
UACAGAGGUCCCGAGCGUUGUUCGGAUUCACUGGGCGUAAAGGGUGCGUAGGCGGUGAGGAAAGUCGGAUGUGAAAUCUCCGGGCUUAACCCGGAAAUGGCAUUGGAAACUACCUUGCUAGAGGUUUUGAGGGGGGACUGGAAUUCUCGGUGUAGCAGUGAAAUGCGUAGAUAUCGAGAGGAACACCGGUGGCGAAGGCGGGUCUCUGGGCCGAUAUUGACGCUGAGGAGCGAAAGCGUGGGGAGCGAACAGG